AUUAAUUAAAUAAGAGAUAAUAAUGAUAUCCCAACAAUAUCCAUGUUCCAACAAGGAACAAUCUUCAGCUUCACCUGCAACUAACAACGCUAUAAGAGGGGCUGAGCAAAGCGGUAACUUAGCCAAACAACGGUUUGCUAGGAAAGGGUUAGAGGCUAACAUGGCAAAAUGGGAGGCAUGAUAUAGCAAGUGGCAGGUAGCGCGGCAUAGCAAAAGAGCGAACAACUAGCAAGCAAAGAUAGAAGUGAUUUCGAGGGUAUGGUCAUCUUGCCCGAGAUCCCGCAAGGAAGAAGAACGAGACCAUGAAGAAAACAAACGGACGAAAUUGAACGAAUCCUCACAAACACGACGUUAUCGGAACUAACCCAAAGAAGCAACACCGGAAAGAAGCAAACAACAUAGUAAACAACCACCACAUAAACAUGGCAUGAUGCACAACCAAGUAUGAUGCAUGUCCGGUUUAAUGAGGGCAUGGCAUGGCAAAGUACACAAGCAAAACUACAAGUUAAGUGGAGCUCAAUAUGCAACGAGUUGCAUAUUGACGGAACACCACAUGACUUAUUUAGUUCUCUCCUGUUUAUGUACCCAACAAUAUUGAAUGUUUAUUAACAUGGCCAGGGGUGAAGCACAACAAAAACUACCUAUCUAGGCAAGUUUAAAUGAGGUCGGAAACAACGAACAACAAUUCCAGUAAAAUCCCAUAUACAUAUUUUAAGGUUUGGUACUGUUCUGCCCUAAACAUAAUUUUAGAGUUAUUAAACAUGCAAAGUAAAGUCACCAUGUUAAACUAUGCAUUUUUCUACCCCAUUUACAUAUAAAGUUUAUUAAAUUUGGAGCUACGUUUAUUAAGUUAUGAAUUAAAGCAUUUUAGCAUGGAAAUAUAGCAAAACAAAGCAAACAACAAGUUUAAACAUUUUAAACAUGCAUGAAAGUUGGAUAUUAUGAAUCUAAAUGCAAAUCUAAGCAUUUUUCAUAUAUGGAGUUUUUACAUAUGAUGCAUAGAUCAUGAGUUAUAAUAUGCAUGAAGACUAGGGACUAAACUGUAAACUGGCAGUUUUCUGGAUAAAUAGGAAAAUCGCUCCGCGAAAAAAAACAUGUCCCGGGCCGAAUCUUAGACGGCCCAACAGUGCAGGGGAGCUUGGGCUGCGCACAUUGGCCCUGAGGCCGAAUCCGGCACUGGGCCAGGGUGGCGCUGCGGAGCUGGGCCGGGAGGCCGAGCGCUGGGGCGGCGCUGGCUUUGGUGGGCAAGAGGAGGCCCACACACGUGGUAGGUGUGCGCUCGAUGCAGCUGUACUGCAUCUCGCUGCAGAAGCAGAAGAAAUGCAGCGGCGCCAUGGCAACAGGAAGCAGGGGAGUCACUGCGGCGGGGCUCCCUCCGGCCAAAUCACGCCGGAUCCCGCGGGAAUGGAGCGAGGGCGAACGGAUCCACGCACGAGUAGUCGAGGCAGGGGCUCGAGGCGGCGAACUUGAAGGAGGUUGCUGUUAACUGAAGAAAAUAAGAGUUCAGAGGGAAACAGGGAAAGGAAGGAGAGAAAGAGACGCGGUGAGAUGGCAAGGGCGCGACGGGGCAACCUGGGGUUGCCGGCAACGACGAGGCCGACCGUCGGAGGCGCGAAGGCAAGGCCGUGGUUGCAAGGGCAGCAAGGCAAGCCUCUGCUUGUGGCGUCCAUGGCUGCAUGAGCGACCUUCCUGAAGAAAAGCAGAGAGAGGGAGUUGACAGAACGAGGACGACAGGAGAAGGAAAAGGGGGCUGCGUGCUGCUCAUCUAUGGCGGGGACGGAGAGGACGGAGCUGGUCUUGCAGGUGAGGAGGGAUCGAGGCGUAGAGGGCAUUGGGCUCCAGAUCGAUGCGAGGAAGGGCGGCCUUCGAGGAAGAAGUCUGCGAGGAGGCGUGGGUGCGGAGGAGCUCUACUCCUCUGGAUUGAACAGGGAGGAGGAGGCGCUCGAUGGAUUGGCUGGGCGAUGGGAUCGAGGGAUAUUGAGUGAGGGGAUCCCGAGAGGAUUUAAAGUGGCGGUGACGAUGAGUGGAGAAUGGGACAACUCUCCUAGUUUUUAGGCUGGUCACAGUGGGGAGGAACUUAGAAGUAACAUCACACACUUCAAUACAACUUUGCUUAUGUGGCACGUAUUUAAUGAAGACAGAGAUGCUUGUGGUAACUAGCUAAGUUACCGGAACAUCACACUCCAAGAAACAAUGAGUCUAUAACCUAAUAAAUACAUCGUUGCAUGACACUACAUAGAUGUUCCUACCCACUAUGAAGGUAGUAACAUAGUCUAGGGAAGUGUGAAGUUACUAGCUUAUGUUCUUGCCCAUUGUGACCAGCCUUAGGGUUGCCCUGUUAUAUACGCUGGUGGAAUUGGUUAGGGGCUAACGGAUCCCUCCGAUCGUAAACGGAUGAUUGAGAAUAAAAGAUUAGAGGAGUCCAAAUAAGAAAACAAAUAUAUUUUAUAGAUGUUUGGGGAUAAUCCGGACCCAUCAGUGACGACUGCCCGAGUCGGGUCCGGGACACCUUUCGGACGCGCGCGCGAGGAGGGUCGCGGGCUGACGAGAGAGGUUAGGUAGGGCCUGGCGGUGAGUGGUAGUGGGCUGUGCAGAAAUCCUUGGGCUGAGAGAAGAGAAGAGAGAGACCCGGCGACUGUUUCUGGAGAUCGAAAACGUCCGACGAUUUGACCGACUAUAUUGCCGCUAUAAGUUUAACGGUUGGGCUAUCAAAUGAGCUUCGAAUGCGAUGAAAUUUGACAGGCGGUCUACUGACAACAUAACAACACCGCAUGCCAACUUUCAACCCAUUCCGAAAACAUUUUCUGGCCACUUAUAAAAUAAUAUUUCGGACGUGCCGCGGGCGCGUGCGAGUGUGUCUGGGCUCAGAACGGACAACAGGCGGGACUAGGGGAACCCGGACGGAUGCAAGUUUUGAAAACAUGAUGAUUCGAUGCACAUGAUGACAUGACAAGAUGCAACACGCAAGCGAAGGACAUGGCAACGACGGUGAAAAACUGGAAGACACCUGGCGCGUCGGUCUCGGGGCGUUACAACACUCCACCACUACAAGAGGAUCUCAUCCCGUGAUCUAGGAUGGCACCAGAGGGAAACGGAAUAGGAAGAUAAGAGGUAAACCAAAGUUGCUUCUUUGACAAAUGAGUGAAACCCAAGAACCUUGAGAGGUUGAACAAAUUGAAGGAAGGAAUACAAUGAAGAUGAACAAAGUUUAAAACACUUCGUUAGAAAAGAGGAACAAGGAACAUUACGAGAACCUUGUGGGUUGAAAGACAUAAGAAAAGGUUACAAUGGACAAGUAGAUGCAAGCACUCUCAUUGAAACAAGAUGCAAGACUUGGUAAGAUGAAAAGAACUUGAGCAGAUGACACGACACUCCGGUUAAAACAAGAUAGAGAAAGCAUAAGAAUGAUAUAAUUUGGACAGCACUCCGGUAGAAAAGAGAAGAAAAAUUGAUAAGAUGAAAAGAAAUUGAAGGGAUGACACAACACUCCGGUUGAAUGGAUAAGCAAAGGAAAGAACAUGGUCUUCACACUUCAAAAUUAUUAACAACGAAAGGAUAAGCUUGUUGUGGACUUAUGGAAAACAUCUCAAAACUGAGGUGAAAUUCUGCCACCGACGAAAACAAUAGAUUGGAUUGAUAUGAACAAGGAGACGAGAAGCUUAUCUCACAGGGAGGAUAAAUGAAGAACUUGGGUCAUUUAUAAGCACCAUAAAUAGCAACAAUCCUUAGGGAAAGCUUUAGGUGAAAUAUAACCCAAGAUAACUCCAAUGAAGAGGUAGAUUGGUUGAAAAGAUGUCUUGAGUGAAGAGAAAAUGAUGGAUUUAGAUAUGUCACUCUUGAAAACUUGUGAAUCAUCAAACACGAAGGGAAAUGAUCAACAAUGACAUAGCACCACCUCAAAUGAUAAGGUAGAAAGAAUUGCACUUUGGAAUGCAAGAUGAAGAAUACUUGAGCUCCUCUGAAAAGAAUCUCGAUGAACACUUCGAGAAGGAAUUAAAUCCUUGAUGAACCAUCAUGUAGAGCCUCCAUGAAGAACUCCGGUAAUAAAAGGAUGAUCAAACGAAAGGAAAGUUGAAAAGAACUCCGGGAGAAGCCUUGCAAUGAUUAUAUGGAGCUUCGCGAUGAUAUAACCGAGAAAACUUGGAACUCCAGAAAAGAAAGAUGAGCAAAUAAAACCAAGAUUUUUGAUGAACCUACGGAAUAAGGAAUUGAAUCACCUCGAUGAUAAGAAUUAUGCCAUGCUUACCGUUCAUAAACUUAAAUUGAUAACAAGCAGCGGAAUUGGCAUGUCACUUAUUCUUCUUGAAGGAUUAAGGAUAGAUAUAGCGCCAACUUGAGAAGGUCUUCAACGUACCACCGGUAGGAUUUGGAAAGAACGAAUGAAUUGAUACAAUAACAACGGAAGAGAAUUCUUGAAUGAACCACCAUAAGAAUUGGAAAUGGAAGUAGCAAAGGCCCAAUUCACCGAGAAGAAUUGGAAAAUGAAUGAAGAUACUUGAGGGAAUUUGAUACAAGAGAACGAAGAGAUCGCGAGCUGAUUAGAGAACACUUGAAUGAUGCACCGGUAAGAUUUCGAGAACGAGAGUUGAAAGAUGAGAAUUAAUAAACCCGAAAUUAUGGCCUUCGGAGAAUCAAACUGAAAAGACUCUUGAAUUGCUCUGGAAGGGUGAAAAGAAUUCUCACAAUCGAAAACAAUUAUGAGAGGAUGGCAUCAAGCUAGAAUCAUGCAUCUCUGAGAGAAAUGGGUAAGAUUGAAGAGAAACUCUUAUUCGGUCUUCAACUGUUGAGAAUGACGACAAGAAACAACACCAUUAAUUAUUGAGAUACUCUGGGAUGAAGAAUAGAAAGGUUGAACCAACUAUGAAGAAUUUGAAAGACCUUGGUGAAAGACAUUUGACUGAUGAAAGUUCAUUCUUACGUCAAACUUUGAAAGAAUUUGAGAGUAACUCCGGGAAGAUUAGAAGAGUGAGGUAAGAUCCUGGGAAAAGACCUGUGGGUUAGGGCCCACUCAAAAGAUACAUCAUUGAACGAUUUAAAAGAUAGAAUGCACCGGUUGAAUUAAAAUGGCUUGAAUGAGGUAACAACCUCGAAAUAGGUUCAAUGGGUCUUGAAUGAAAAGACAAGCCUUCUGAGAUAUCUUCAACAUUCCUGAGCAAAUGAAUAGUGAGAAGUGAAAGAUUAAGAGGUGCACUGGUGUGAGAAAGCAUUGUGAAAUGAGGAAAGGGAUAAGAUUAACAAAGCUUGAAUUGAAUCCACCGAAGAAGAAAAAGAACGAAUAAUGAUAACUUGAAGUUUCGUUAGUAUCUUCAUGAAAAAUCACCGGGUGAGAACAUUGAAUGAAAACAAUGAAGAGACUUCGCAUCCAUAAGAUGGAUACUUGAUUACGACAUUUGAGUCCUUGAAUAAAAAGGGUGGGAGGGAGGGAAAACAAAGGUAGCUUGGGACAGAUGAAAUGAACACCGUUGAGAAGAACUGAUAAUUGAUCUUGCGGAUGUUGGAAAAGAUCGGAUCCACUUGAAGAGAGACACACCGAUUCAAAAUAAAUUGAGAUGACAAACUCAAUGAUCAAGAAGGAUUAGUAUUCCCAAAGAAAUACAAGAACACCGCUUAGAAAGGGUAUGGAAUCCACAUUUGACUUUGAAGCAACUCAAAUACCACAACAAAACAAACAAGGAUUUGGCUUGCAGAAUAAGCCGGAAACAAACAUAAGAUAGACCCCAUGUCGUAUCAUGUGUCUGUUGGAAAGAUAUUCUAGGAGCUACUUGAAUUCCCACUUAUAAACUCCCGAAACUUUUUGGUUAUGAAAUCAGGUGUUGGGGAUACAGGGGAAGCAUAAUAUCUCACCCAAAACUAGCAAAUCCAACAUCCAGCUGUAUCCAUCCUUCAACACAUAACCAAGAAACCUUCGGAAAUCAUUUACCUCAACCUUCGAAAAAGCAUCUGUUAUACGAGUUAUGGCAAUACUCCCGAACUCCCGCCCCAGUACUGGGUGGCGUCGAGGUUAUCUCACCAACAACUGCAUAAAAGAGAUUUUCGAUGUCGACGAACUCAGGUAUUCCAGAACUGCAAUGAUAAAAUUGUGACGACAACACCUUGGAGCUCAACUCCCCGGGACACUGCCACAACCCCUAAAUGUCAGGAGGCACCAAGAACAAUGUUCUCAUCACAAAACCAUCGGAACGACUCCAAGAUACCUGUGCAAUCCCAAAAAAAUUCAUGAAAUUUGAGGAGAGAAGAGUUAGAACUCUACGUCAGGAGGCCUCACCAGAGCGACGAAGGGACUGAGGAGUAAAAAGAAUCCUACUCUCCGAUAUAUAUAAUCCUAAGACUCAAAACAUUUUUUUCUAGACUCAACAACGUCAACGAUUCGAUCAAGCAGGGGGCUCCUAAGUCGGCGAUGGCUCUGAUACCAACUUGUAACACCCACGAUGCGACUAUAUCUCCCACGUGUCGGGGCACGACUUAGAGGCAUAGCCGCAUGGUAGGUUUGUCGCAAGAGGGGUAAUCUUCACACAAUCCCAUGUACUGAAUAAGAAAGGGAUAAAGAGUUGGAUUACAAUCGCCACUUAACUCAAUACAAGUUAAACAUAAAACAUCUAGAAUACAAUCAAGGCCCGACUAUGGAACCAAAAUAAAAGAAGACAACCCCAAAUGCUAGAUCCCUGAUCGUCCCAACUGGGCUCCACUACUAAUCAACUGGAAACGAAACAACACAACGAACAUGAUCUUCUUCGAGCUCCCACUUGAGCUCGGUUGCGUCACCUACACUGGUAUCAUCGGCACCUGCAACUAUUUGGAAGUAUCUGUGAGUCACGAGGACUCAGCAAUCUCACACCCGUGAGAUCGAGACUAUUUAAGCUUAUGGGUAGGAUAGGGUAAUGAGGUGGAGCUGCAGCAAGCACUAAGCAUAUAUGGUGUCUAACUUACGCAAAUAAGAGUGAGAAGAGAAGCAAUGCAACGGUCGCGAAACUAGAAAUGAUCAAGAAGUGAUCCUGAAACUACUUACGCACAAACAUAACCCAAGAACCGUGUUCACUUCCCGGACUCCGCCGAGAAGAGACCAUCACGAAUGCACAUGCGGUUGAUGCAUUUUAAUUAAGUUAAGUGUCAAGUUAUCUACAACCGGAUAUUAACAAAUUCCCAUCUGCCCAUAACCGCGGGCAUGGCUUUCGAAAGUUCAAACCCUGCAGUGGUGUCCCAACUUAGCCCAUCACAAGCUCUCACGGUCAACGAAGGAUAUUCCUUCUCCAAAGAAGAUCCGAUUAGACUUGGAAUCCCGGUUACAAGACAUUUCGACAAUGGUAAACCAAGACCAGCAAAGCCACCCGAUGUGCCGACAAUCCUGAUAGGAGUCGCACGUAUCUCGUUCUUAGGGCAAUACCGGAUGAGACUAGCUACGAGUAAAACCAAACCUCAAGUUUCCCUGAGGUGGCCCCGCAGGCAGCUUGGUUCGGACCAACACUUAGAGAAGCACUGGCCCGCAGGGGUUAAAAUAAAGAUGACCCUCGGGUUGGCUGACCCAAGGGAAGGGUGAUAGGUUGUUAGGAAAAUGUAAAACCAAGGUUGGGCCUUGCUGGAGGAGUUUUAUUCAAAGCGAUCUGUCAAGGGGUCCCCAUUACACCCAACCGUGUAAGGAACACAAAAUCAAGGAACAUAACACCGGUAUGACAGAAACUAGGGCGGUAAGAGUGGAACAAAACGCCAGGCAUAAGGCCGAGCCUUCCACCCUUUACCAAGUAUAUAUAUGCAUUAAUUAAAUAAGAGAUAAUAAUGAUAUUCCAACAAUAUCCAUGUUCCAACAAGGAACAAUCUUCAGCUUCACCUACAACUAACAACGCUAUAAGAGGGGCUGAGCAAAGCGGUAACUUAGCCAAACAACGGUUUGCUAGGAAAGGUGGGUUAGAGGCUAACAUGGCAAAAUGGGAGGCAUGAUAUAGCAAGUGGUAGGUAGCGCGGCAUAGCAAAAGAGCGAACAACUAGCAAG
rnacentral:lncRNA from 1 species